GACGAGCGCUGGCGGCGUGCCUAAUACAUGCAAGUCGAGCGGAUGAUGAAGAAGCUUGCUUCUUCUGAUUUAGCGGCGGACGGGUGAGUAACACGUGGGCAACCUGCCCUGUAGAUUGGGAUAACUCCGGGAAACCGGGGCUAAUACCGAAUAAUCCAUUUCCUCACAUGGGGAAAUGUUAAAAGACGGUCUCGGCUGUCCCUACAGGAUGGGCCCGCGGCGCAUUAGCUAGUUGGUGAGGUAACGGCUCACCAAGGCGCCGAUGCGUAGCCGACCUGAGAGGGUGAUCGACCACACUGGGACUGAGACACGGCCCAGACUCCUACGGGAGGCAGCAGUAGGGAAUCUUCCACAAUGGACGAAAGUCUGAUGGAGCAACGCCGCGUGAGUGAAGAAGGUUUUCGGAUCGUAAAACUCUGUUGUGAGGGAAGAACAAGUACGAGAGUAACUGCUCGUACCUUGACGGUACCUCAUUAGAAAGCCACGGCUAACUACGUGCCAGCCGCCGCCGUAAGAC
rnacentral:rRNA from 1 species